CCUACGGGGGGCAGCAGUGAGGAAUAUUGGUCAAUGGGCGCGAGCCUGAACCAGCCAAGUAGCGUGAAGGAUGACUGCCCUACGGGUUGUAAACUUCUUGUAUAAAGGAAGAAAGUGAGGCACGUGUGCCGUUUUGUAUGUACUUUAUGAAUAAGGAUCGGCUAACUCCGUGCCAGCAGCCGCGGUAAUACGGAGGAUCCGAGCGUUCUCCGGAUUUAUUGGGGUUAAAGGGAGCGUAGAUGGGUUGUUAAGUCAGUUGUGCAAGUUUGCGGCUCAACCGGAAAAUUGCAAUUGAUACUGGCAGCCUUGCGUACAGUUGAGGUCGGCGGCAUUCGUGGUGUAGCGGUGAACUGCUUCGCUAUCACG
rnacentral:rRNA from 1 species